ACAUCCUUAUCACAGGUACUGGUUCCUUUCAGGAUCAUUGUGAUGUUCGAUGCCCGGGUAAAGUUUGCUCCCGUUACUAUCACGUUGCUUUUCCCUAAUGUCGAUACUUUCUGUGGCUCAAUGGACUUAAUGUAGAAGACCUAUUGGAAAGAAAAGAUUAAAACAGGAGAUCAAAGCUAAGAAAUGGCAUCGCUCCAAAAAAAUCUGUUUAUACGCUGCAGUUCGAAGAAAUCACUGGGAAAUUACAACAUUUUGCGAACACAAGCAGACAGUGUUUAAUGAAAUCAAUGAAUUCAAGGAAGAGGGCUGCAGAUUCAUGUCUCUCAACAUGUGACAGCAUGAGGUCAAACCAAUUAGUCUUUGUCUCACAAGACAGUUGAAAAUACAGUUGAAAAGUCUGAUAUUCUGUCUGAAGAGUGAGGUAUCACUAGAGUUUUGAAAAUGUUUACUGCCUUACAGCCUCUGGAGGCUCACAAUGUAAGCAAAAUCAAGGAAAAGAAAGAGAGUCCAUUGACCGUAGGCCAAUGACAGACUCAUCGUUAAGUUGAAAUAAAUGUCAUUCCAGAUAAAUUCAGUUCCCAAGAAAGCAGUCAUAUUUUUGUUACAGUGAGGCUAUUUGAAUCCAGGAGGAUACUGCAGGGGGAAAAACCUCAAGAAAUCAACCUGUUCAGUCACCUACUAUCAAGUAGUUGGAUGUCUAAACCACUGUGGCCAACCAAGACCAUUUUCAGCAAGUCUGUAUUCUUCUAUAAUACGGUGACCAAAACAGGACAUAAGAUUCUAAGAUUCUACCCAAUAUAAAGUCCAGCAGAACUUCAGCAAGAGUGAACAUCAUACUCACACUCUUUUUUCCCCUAUAUCCUCUACCAUCGCAGAAUAUACUCAGUCUUGAUAUUUGAAAAUGACCCCAAAGUCCAGAGAUGCUUAAUCACAUGACGUUUGGUGAAAUUCUAAAUGCUGAGUGCAUCCACUUGGAGGACCGAGUCCAGGAAGAAGCCCCUGAGCCACUGGGAGAACUCCGUGAUGUCCAACACCUGCCUAACACCUGCUUCUUGAAGCAAUUGAGUAUCCUCUGCUCCUUUGUACAUGGAACACUCAUUGGGGUGGCAUUGCUGGGCUACAGGGGCUGCCCAUCCUGCUCAAACAGACAUUUUCUCAUUCUGCUCCCCAGCACACACAGGUGCUACACGGCACAGUCGUCCCCAUCACUCAUCAGCGCUUUGGACUGGUUUUGCAGAUUGAGGUAAAUUCAUUGUUAAUGUCAUCACAGCAAUGAUGUAACAUGACACAGAAUUGAUUUUGGUAGCAGAAUUUAUUUUAAUCACUUUGUGAAGGACGUUAGCCCUGUAUUAAUAGAAUCACUAAGGGCCUGAAAGGGUCACUUUAAUUAUUCUGUUAUACUUGACUGCAUUUUAUGGGGGAAAUUAUCUGCUAGAGUGGUACUUGGAAUGGGGGGAUUAGCAAAGCCUUCAAGAUAAAUCUCUUGCAAAUGUCAAGUGUGUGUUAUAUAGCAAAAGGCUUACUCUUCGCUCUUACGUGGUGACAGCUAAGAGAACAAGUGUUUAUUGAGCACCUACAGGGUCCUUAGGCCAGAUAUUGUGGGGGACACAUGAUCUAUGUGUGCACUAGAUCAGGAGUUGGCAAACUAUAGUCUGUGGGCCAGAUCCUGCCCGCUACCUGCUUUUGUAUGGGCCAUGACAAAAUGUCAAAAGAAGAAUAAUAUUUCAUGACAUAUAAAAACACAUGAAAUUCAAAUUUCAGCACCCAUAAAUAUUCGUCUGGGUAGUGUCUCUGGCUGCUGUUGCACUGCAGCAGUCGAGUGGAGUAGCUGCAGCAGAGACCAUACGGCCCGCAAAGCCUAAAAUAUUUACUGUCUUGGCUCUUUGUAGAAAACAUUUGCCGACCUCUGCUCUAGAGGAGUCCACUGUCUUCUUAGGGGAGCAAGAUAGAAUUUUUUUUCUUUUUUUAUGUAAACCUCAUUGCAGACUCACGUUUACAUCCAAGUCAACUAUGAUUCCCAGGUUUCUUUUCUUUCUAGAUAGUCCUUCCUGCUUCUUAUAUUUAUACUGUUGAUGUCUGCUCAAGCAAAAUUUUCAAACAUGCCAAGUAAAUGCUUCUUCUCCAUUCUCUGCAGAGGAUAAAGAGAGCCUUACAACUAAUGUAAAAAAGAUUUUUUAAGGAAGUUAUAUUUUGCUCCUUAAAUGGCUCUACGAACACCAUCAGAGGACUUGCCACAUCAUCUUAUUAACUUUUUAUUUCCCUGAGUGGAGACCGCCUUGCUACUUCAAAAACAUUUUAAACCCCUAUUGUUUAGAGAGGGUUCUCUUGGCCAUCUAGGAUGGAAUCCAGCCCUGGCCUGUCUUGUGAAAGUGGGUGCUUCAGUCUGCUUUUAAACAGACUCAGAUUAGUUGUCUUUUGUUUGCUGGUGGAACCUCUUCUAAUCUUAAUAAAUGGGUUAAAGAGCUACCAAGAGGACCCUCCUAAAUAAAUAGUGCAGGUAUAAAACAACAUUUUUAAAACAAAAUGUAGAGUCAGCUCCAUGGCUGCCCUGUAUGGUUGCAACAAUUCUUAGAAAUACAUUCUUUCUUUUUACCAAUAAAGAUUUUGAAAAAUCCAGUACAGACAAAAGAGCAAAGAAUCAUUUCCCCAUAAAGGUUCUACACAUUCAAUAUUUUAGAUCAAUUUUUGUAUUUUCAUCAAGAGUUAAUUCAUAAAACCUGGCAUAUAGUAGCCAGCCCUAUAAGCUUAUGCAUUUUAGAGGGAGUUAAUUGUAAAACAUAAUUGAGCUCAAUACAAAGAGACAAAUUCUUAGAGCCCUAUCGUGGGAUUCCUCCCUCACUCUAUGUCCAAGGAUUUCUAUGUAUUCAAAUCAAAAUACCGUUGACUAUAACCGUCACAGCCCUAUGUUGUCCAGCAAUUAACCUCAGAAUAGUGUGCUUCCUGUAGGUUACGUUUUAAAGACUUCAGGGUUAUUUUUAAAUGGCUGCACAAUUUGAACUUAUUUAAUAAACUACUAUGAGCUCUGGCUUUCA